UGCCUUGUUGGUAUAGAAGUUGUGGGCACACAAUUUUAUUUUGUGUCUGAAUUAUGCAAUGAGGCUACAGAAAAUACAGGUUAUGCUUCCAUCAUUGUAAGGCAAAUUACAUUGGUGACAAUGAGGCCUGUAAUAAGC